GGCAAAUCUGUUUGAAUAGAGAUACUAGCCAUGCUGCCCAUUAGGGCUUUCUGGCCCUGAAAAAGAUACGGAGUAUUCUUGGAAAGUUGAAGGGAAAAAGAAUAAACUGAUCCAUGUAGUAGCAUGCAGAUUAUUGAGGAAUUUUCUAAAGGUAUCUCUCGGUGUAUUUCUCUACUUACCUGUAAUAAUGCUUUUGUCUUAAUAGGGUGGUUCUCUUCCCAAAGUGGAAGCCAAAUUCAUCAAUUAUGUGAAGAAUUGCUUCCGGAUGACUGACCAAGAGGCUAUUCAAGAUCUCUGGCAGUGGAGGAAGUCUCUUUAAGAAAAUAGUUUAAACAAUUUGUUAAGAAUUUUCCGUCUUAUUUCAUUUCUGUAACAGUUGAUAUCUGGCUGUCCUUUUUAUAAUGCAGAGUGAGAACUUUCCCUACCGUGUUUGAUAAAUGUUGUCCAGGUUCUAUUGCCAAGAAUGUGUUGUCCAAAAUGCCUGUUUAGUUUUUAAAGAUGGAACUCCACCCUUUGCUUGGUUUUAAGUAUGUAUGGAAUGUUAUGAUAGGACAUAGUAAUAGCGGUGGUCAGACAUGGAAAUGGUGGGGAGACAAAAAUAUACAUGUGAAAUAAAACUCAGUAUUUUAAUAAAGUA
rnacentral:sRNA from 1 species